AAUCAUUAGUCUUUUAAUUUGAGACUGGAAUGAAUGGUUUCACUAAUUAAUUUUGUCUCAUUUCAAUAUUUUGAAUUUUAUAUUUUAGUAAAAAAGCUAAAAUUAUUUUUAAAGACGAGAAGACCCUAUCAAGCUUUAUAAUAAAAUUUGUAUAUUCAAAAUAAAAAUUAAAUUAUUUUGCUGGGGCAGUAAGUAGAAAAUUUCUACUUUAUCAUUGUGAUUUGUUAAUCUUAUUAAACCUAAAAAUUUUUAAAUAAAAAUAAGUUACUGUAGGGAUAACAGCAUAAUUUUUUUAAAGAGUUCUUAUCAUCAAAAAAGUUUGUGACCUCGAUGUUGGAUUAAGAGCCCUAACUCAUGCAAUAGUGAAAUA
rnacentral:rRNA from 1 species